CUGUCACUGGAAGCCGGUGUUACUCCAAAGGGGAGAGAGAGGGAGCCCUUGAGUGUGAACAGCCUAGGUGAGUGUGUGAAUGCCCCAUUAGUGUGAUCUCUGUUCGGUCCUUGUGAGGGGGCGCAGGAUACCACCCAGCCUGUGCAUGUGCACAGUGUGGUCUGUGUCUGUACAAGCCAGCAUGUACACACAGCCUCGUCUGCGUGGGCCCAGACCCUGGCAUAUAGUGAGUGUCUGUUUGUUGAGUGAAUAAAUGUGAAUGUGGGUAUGGCUCAAGCCUCUGGUGCAAAGAGAAUUCCGGGAAUGGCAGCCAUAGCCAGCUAAACCUGUCCUCACUAGAAGCUCAGGCCUCUCCAGUGUGUAGACACUGGCUUAGCUGUCACUCCCACCCCGCCCCACAUACCUGGAGCAAACUUGGCAGUGCAUGGCUGGGGCUAGGGCCGUGACCCCACCUUGUCCCUCCUCUUGGCCUCUGCAGGCUGGAACCACAGCCUCCUUCACCCAUUCUGAGCUCAGUGCUUCCUGCAUUUAUGAGGUGCCCACACACGCUGGGGUAUACAGCCCUCCUCUGGCAGCUCGGCCUGUGCUUUCCAGGGCUCUAGCUGUCUUCUGGGCCCACCAGGGAACCCAAGCUUCCGACUCUCCUGGGUGCGGCUGCACUCAAACUGCUGGAGCUCCGGCAAGAUGCAUCAUUUGGCUGGUUGCAGUCCUCUUCAGAGCACUCUGAGCUGUGCAUCCUCCUGGCACUUUUGAGGAGCACCUUCCUGCCUGUGAUGGUUCCAUCCCAAGACAGAAUCAGAGCAACGUUGGGCCCCUCCAUGAUGGAGCCUGAGCAAAAGGGAAAAUCAGUAAUGCUGAUCCUGUCUCUAUUUAAAAAUUUGGUAUUUCAUUCAUCCCUCAUUGAUAUCUUGCAUCACUUUUGAUUUUUAAAAAUGUUGCAUUAAAGUCUGAUUUGUCCUGCCUGCUGAGUGUUUUGAUGACCCUUACGUUUUUACACUUGAGGUGAAUGCCAAGAGAAGGGAGCCCUUGGUCUGGGCCGGGGAAUGUCCUGGGGCUGGAGGUGGACCAGAGCUUCCCCCCUUCCAGGAGUGGCUUGUGGGGUCUGCGGGUGUGGGUGUGUGAGGAGGCAGGCUCAGAGCUUCUGCUACUGUUUCCCUGGGGCUGAGGGGCAGGCCCGGAGGAGGGGGCCCAGCCUGUGGGUUAGCCCAGCGAGCGAGGAGCAAGUGAGCAAGCAGGAGAGUGAGUCUUUGAAGGUGGAAAGAGAAGCAGGGAGCAGAGUUGGCAUGGAGGGAGAAAAAUGUAGUCUGUGACACCAAUUUUCUAUGGAUGGGACUGGAAAAUGAGAAAACUGGAGGCUUUAAAGGCAGCAGGUGACAGAGCCACAGGUGAUGCUAAAUCUCUCCAAUCCCCCAAAGUUCAGUGACAUUGUUCCAUACAUAUUGGCCUUGUGCGAGCACUCCUUUGGUGAGGGAGCAGAGGAAAGGGUGGAUUCCGGGCUCUGAGCCUGUCCAUGUGGAAGUGGGGCCCAGAAUGUGCGCAGCAACUCUUUCUGCCCACUGACCUGUUCAGUGGAAGCAGUGCCCAAAGACAAAGACAUGUAGGCAAAUCCCCCAAUGGGAUUAGGGCCAGUUCUCCUACAGCUCAAAGGGCAGGCACCUCUGCGUGUACAUCUGUAUCUCAGACUCCCAGCUCCCUGGCUUGCUGCCCAUGUUGAGACCUUUGAACAU
rnacentral:lncRNA from 12 species